UAAGCUCGUAGUUGGAUUUCUGUUAAUAAUUUAUAUAAAAUAUUUUGAUGAAUAUUUAUAUAAUAUUAACAUAAUUCAUAUUACUAUAUAUUUUAGUAUAUGAAAUUUUACUUUGAGAAAAUUAGAGUGCUUAAAGCAGGCAUAUGCCUUGAAUACUCCAGCAUGGAAUAAUAUUAAAGAUUUUUAUCUUUCUUAUUGGUUCUAAGAUAAGAAUAAUGAUUAAUAGGGACAGUUGGGGGCAUUUGUAUUUAACAGUCAGAGGUGAAAUUCUUAGAUUUGUUAAAGACAAACUAAUGCGAAAGCAUUUGCCAAGGAUGUUUUCAUUAAUCAAGAACGAAAGUUAGGGGAUCGAAGACGAUCAGAUACCGUCGUAGUCUUAACCAUAAACUAUGCCAACUAGAGAUUGGAGGUUGUUCCUUACUCCUUCAGCACCUUAA
rnacentral:rRNA from 1 species